GCCAGACUCCUACGGGAGGCAGCAGUGGGGGAUAUUGCACAAUGGGGGAAACCCUGAUGCAGCGACGCCGCGUGAGUGAAGAAGUAUUUCGGUAUGUAAAGCUCUCUCAGCAGGGAAGAAAAAAGACGGUACCUGACUAAGAAGCCCCGGCUAACUACGUGCCAGCAGCCGCGGUAAUACGUAGGGGGCAAGCGUUAUCCGGAUUUACUGGGUGUAAAGGGAGCGUAGACGGCAAUACAAGUCGGAAGUGAAAUACCCGGGCUCAACCUGGGAACUGCUUUGGAAACUGUAUGGCUGGAGUGCUGGAGAGGUAAGCGGAAUUCCUAGUGUAGCGGUGAAAUGCGUAGAUAUUAGGAGGAACACCAGUGGCGAAGGCGGCUUACUGGACUGUAACUGACGUUGAGGCUCGAAAGCGUGGGGAGCAAACAGGAUUAGAUACCCGGGUAU
rnacentral:rRNA from 1 species